AUUUUUUUUUUCUUCCACUACUAAUGAAAUGAAUUCUAUUCACCUCUUCCUUUUCAUUCCCUUUAUAGGUCAUCACAGAUGACCUCCAGAGUGACCAAUCUCAUCAGAAAUCAGAGAUUG
rnacentral:lncRNA from 1 species